GACGAACGCUGGCGGCGUGCUUAACACAUGCAAGUCGAACGGAAAGGCCCUGCUUUUGUGGGGUGCUCGAGUGGCGAACGGGUGAGUAACACGUGAGUAACCUGCCCUUGACUUUGGGAUAACUUCAGGAAACUGGGGCUAAUACCGGAUAGGAGCUCCUGCUGCAUGGUGGGGGUUGGAAAGGUUCGGCGGUUGGGGAUGGACUCGCGGCUUAUCAGCCUGUUGGUGGGGUAGUGGCUUACCAAGGCUUUGACGGGUAGCCGGCCUGAGAGGGUGACCGGCCACAUUGGGACUGAGAUACGGACCAGACUCCUACGGGAGGCAGCAGUGGGGAAUAUUGCACAAUGGGCGGAAGCCUGAUGCAGCAACGCCGCGUGCGGGAUGACGGCCUUCGGGUUGUAAACCGCUUUCGCCUGUGACGAAGCGUGAGUGACGGUAAUGGGUAAAGAAGCACCGGCUAACUACGUG
rnacentral:rRNA from 1 species